AUGGCUUUGAGGCGAGCCUUGCAUUUCGUUUUCAAAGUGGGUGACAGAAGCAAAACGGCCACCUUUUACCGAGAUGUGCUAGGCAUGAAGAUUUUGCGUCAUGAAGAGUUUGAAGAGGGAUGCAAGGCCACUUGUAAUGGCCCUUAUGAUGGAAAAUGA